rnacentral:lncRNA from 12 species
GGGAACCUUAAAGAUAUGUGCUUCCAGGUUGCUCAAAGCCCCAUUCAACCUGGCCUUGAACACUUCCAGGAAUGGGGCAUCCUCAGCUUCUCUGGCAACCUCUUCCAGUGCCUCACCAACCUCACAGUAAAGAUUUUCUUCCUAAUACCCACUCUAAAUCGAUCCUCCUUCAGUUUAAAGCCUUUGGCCCUUCUCCUAUUGCAGCAGGCCUUGCUAGAAAGUCUGUACCCAUCUUCCUUACAGACCUCUUUUAGGUAUUGAAACGCAGUGAUAAAGUGUGCCUGGAGUCUUCUCUGAAGUGCACAGUGCCAAAUCUCUCAGCCUUUCUUCAACAGGAGAAGAAAGGAGAAGUGCAAGAAGUGCUCCAGCCCUGAUCAUCUUCAGGGCUCUUGCCUGGACCUGCUCCAAGUCCACGUCUUUCUUGUGCUGAGGAUUCCAGUGCUGGAUGCAGCACUCUAGACAAAGGUAUCUACAACAGAGCUGUGAAGUCGGAGGGAGAAGCUGCUAUCACAGUACUGGCACAACACUAAGCCUUUCCCCAGAGCUAAAUUCUGAUAAAAAACUGGGCGUUGGGGAUAAGAGUACCACAACAGUAAGAUGGCAGAGACGACUGAAGCAGGAUCAUAGAGUUCAUCCCAGCAGUUUACAAAAAAAAAAAAAAAAAAAAAAACCCCCCCCCCCCCCCCCCCCCCCCCCCCCCCCCCCCCCCCCCCCCCCCCCCCCCCCC